UGUUGUUAAAGUUUAUAAGGUGCACUUUCGUUAACACAGGAUGAUAUAGUGUCUGACAAAGCGUUAGCUCCAUCUUAUUUAUUGGUUAUUUUCAAGGAAAUAUAGUGGACUAGAUUUUGGUCCUUACUUGGAUCGCAAAUUACGGAAGGCGGGUUGGCGUCAUGGUUAAGACAACCACGAUGGAGGUGUUUGUAAGACACAGUUGG
rnacentral:lncRNA from 1 species